rnacentral:rRNA from 1 species
UACGGAGGGUGCAAGCGUUAUCCGGAAUCACUGGGUUUAAAGGGUGCGUAGGCGGACUGAUAAGUCAGAGGUGAAAGGUACAGGCUCAACCUGUAAAUUGCCUUUGAUACUGUUAGUCUUGAAUUAGGAUGAGGUUAGCGGAAUGAGUCAUGUAGCGGUGAAAUGCAUAGAUAUGACUCAGAACACCGAUUGCGAAGGCAGCUUACUAACAUGUAACUGACGCUGAGGGACGAAAGCGUGGGGAGCGAACAGG